rnacentral:rRNA from 1 species
GAGUUUGAACCUGGCUCAGGAUGAACGCUGGCGGCGUGCCUAAUACAUGCAAGUCGAGCGAACCACUUCGGUGGUGAGCGGCGAACGGGUGAGUAACACGUAGGUGAUCUGCCCAUCAGACGGGGACAACGAUUGGAAACGAUCGCUAAUACCGGAUAGGACGAAAGUUUAAAGGUGCUUCUGGCACCGCUGAUGGAUGAGCCUGCGGCGCAUUAGCUAGUUGGUAGGGUAAAGGCCUACCAAGGCGACGAUGCGUAGCCGACCUGAGAGGGUGAACGGCCACACUGGGACUGAGACACGGCCCAGACUCCUACGGGAGGCAGCAGUAGGGAAUCUUCGGCAAUGGGCGAAAGCCUGACCGAGCAACGCCGCGUGAAUGAUGAAGGCCUUCGGGUUGUAAAAUUCUGUUAUAAGGGAAGAACGACUUUAGUAGGAAAUGGCUAGAGUGUGACGGUACCUUAUGAGAAAGCCACGGCUAACUACGUGCCAGCAGCCGCGGUAAUACGUAGGUGGCGAGCGUUGUCCGGAAUUAUUGGGCGUAAAGAGCGCGCAGGUGGUUGAUUAAGUCUGAUGUGAAAGCCCACGGCUUAACCGUGGAGGGUCAUUGGAAACUGGUCGACUUGAGUGCAGAAGA